UACGAAGGGGGCUAGCGUUGCUCGGAAUUACUGGGCGUAAAGGGCGCGUAGGCGGAUAUUUAAGUUGGGGUGAAAUCCCGGGGCUCAACUCGGAAUUGCCUUCAAAACUGGAUAUCUUGAGUUCGGGAGAGGUGGAGUGGAACUCCGAGUGUUAGAGGUGAAAUUCGGUAAGAUAUUCGGAAGAACACCAGUGGCGAAAGGCG
rnacentral:rRNA from 1 species